rnacentral:rRNA from 1 species
CGGGGUGCAGCAGGCGCGAAAACUNUGCAAUGCGGGAAACCGUGACAAGGGAACUCUGAGUGCCCGUAAAAUCGGGCUGUCCAUCGGUUUAAAUAACCGGUGAAGAAAGGGCCGGGCAAGACCGGUGCCAGCCGCCGCGGUAAUACCGGCGGCUCGAGUGGUGGCCACUAUUACUGGGCUUAAAGCGUUCGUAGCCGGUCUGUUAAGUCUCUGGGGAAAUCUUCCGGCUUAACCGGAAGGCGUCUCAGGGAUACUGGCAGACUAGGGACCGGGAGAGGUGAGAGGUACUCCAGGGGUAGGAGUGAAAUCCUGUAAUCCUUGGGGGACCACCUGUGGCGAAGGCGUCUCACCAGAACGGCUCCGACAGUGAGGGACGAAAGCUGGGGGAGCAAACCGGAUUAGAUACCCGGGUAGUCCCAGCUGUAAACGAUGCGCGUUAGGUGUAUCGGUGACCACGAGUCACCGAGGUGCCGAAGAGAAAUCGUGAAACGUGCCGCCUGGGAAGUACAGUCGCAAGGCUGAAACUUAAAGGAAUUGGCGG